rnacentral:lncRNA from 1 species
UGAGGCUCUUGAAGAGGCAAUUCAGCAUAGUCUACUAGAAGAGUGUGAUGGACCUGCUGUUAAUACUUUAAAGUCAUCUGAAAUGCUGAGCAAAGAAGAAAUUGCAGGUCUUCUACAAGCUCACAGUGAGAGAGUUAUUACAUCGGGAACAAGACAGAUCUAUAUCAGUCGAGCCAAUUUUUGGACCACAGCCUUAUGUGUGUUUAAGAGACCCAGUUUUGCAGAAAGCUGUGACAAGCUCUAUGUCACAUUUACAAGCGAUGAACAUGAUGCUGUGGAAGAUGCUGCUGACCUUGGGGGUCCCAGACGAGAGUUUUUCCGCUUACUGGUGAAGGCUAUCUUCCAGGACAGUGGAACUUUUUAAGAUUUUUUAUAAAUAUAUAUAAUAUAUUUUGUGGCUACCUGACCACAAAUAUUGGUUUAAAAUGCCAGAGAAAAUAAUACAGAAUGUGCUGCUUAACUUAUUUAAUCUUUCAGGCACACACUCAGGCUUCCACUCGUAGUCACCAUGGCCAACAGAGAUGUGUUUGUGAAAAAUGCAGUUCUAUACCAAUAGUUGUUCAACGGCAGAGCUGUCUUGAUCAACUCAUUGAUGGCUUGUCCCACAAUGGAGUUUUAUCACUCCUGAGAGAGAACCCCAGCUUGUGUGUGCUGCUUGACAUACCAGGAGAGGACAAAGGUCAAGAAACUGAUUUUGUAGCUGGUAUUCUCAAACCAAGCUACUCCGUACUGGGGAGCAACAGAAGAGCUAAGGAGGAGUUGAUAGUGGUCAAAUUUAGGGAGUUUCUCCAAUGUGUUGAAAAUAAAGAGCUGAGAGACACAUAUGGGGACAGGACUCUAACCAACGAUGAGGAGGCAUUCCUGAAGACUUUGAGCCCUGGUCACAUCCUGGCGUUUGCUACAGGUAGCAGCAAAGUCCCAGCCACUGGCUUUCAUUCAUCUCCUAAAUUAAUGUUUAUUCAUGAUGAAAAAAAACAUCUUCCCAUUGUGCACACUUGUACAAAUGAGCUUCACCUUUUUGUAAACGGAAAAACAAUGGCUGAUGAUAAUGAAUUUAACUACUGCUUCCUAGUAGCACUAAUGAAUGGAUCUUUAUUCAGCACCAUUUAAACAAACUUUGUGAAAGAACCUCUGCAGUGUAAUACACCACUGUUUAGUGGAGGGCUCCUCAUGUUUGUUCAUAGAAGACAUAGUUUGUCCAUGUUAUAAAGCAAUGGUUUUUAAUUGCAGUACAUAAGAAUGCUAAAAAAGAAAUACUUUAGAUUGUGUUUUCCCAUCUUGCUCCACACUCUUUGCCCUGUUUUCUUACAAAAAAUGUUGACCUCUGUGAGGACUAUCUGACCCUUCUUUAUACUGUAAGAUGUUGUACUGUAUGACUGGAAGGAUAUGGAAUCAGUCAUCGCAGUAAUAAUAAAUCACUAAUGUAGUUACUUUAACCUUGUGAUGUGUGUGUUUUUUAACAAUGAUUGUUGAUUAAUUUAACUACCAUAGUUUUUUUAUACUGAAACAGUAGUGAAGGAAUAAACUAUGUACAUUUACUCAAGUAAUGUACUUCCAAAAAAAAUUUGAAGUAUUUUUCAGAUUACAAUUUUUAAUUCCCCUCCUCACCAUUGAAAGCCUUGUAUAUUCAGAUGUAUUGCUGUUGAAUGUUUUGUGAUAAACUGAAGAUUGUAUUUGUUCAUAUGUCAUCCUUCUUUCCCAUAACAUGAGUCAUCUUGUAUUUAUCCACACUACCAUUGCUUUUGACUUGACAGAAAACUAACAGAAGCAAAAGUGCGUCUGUAGCCUUUUUAACACUGACAUCAAGUAUGUGCCAUCAUGUAAUUUUCAAACAUCUAUAUGCUGGCAAGAGGCUUUAAAUCUUGUAGUUCAAGAAGCACAACAAAACAUCAAUAUUUGUUUCACAGUGUACUUUUUAAAGUACAAUAAGGCUAAUGUUACCCAGUUUUCCAUGUUAUGCUGAGAUCACACAUUUACAAGUUUAUCAAAAAAUAAACUGUUGUGUUCUCUGAAACAAUGUUUUGCCAUUGUUGUUUUCAU